rnacentral:rRNA from 1 species
AGAGUUUGAUCAUGGCUCAGGAUGAACGCUAGCGGCAGGCCUAACACAUGCAAGUCGAGGGGCAGCACAAAGAUAGUUUACUAUUUUGGUGGCGACCGGCGCACGGGUGAGUAACGCGUAUGCAACCUACCUUAUACAGGAGUAUAGCCCGAAGAAAUUCGGAUUAAUCCUCCAUAGUAUUUUCUAAUGGCAUCAUUUGGAAAAUUAAAGCUUCGGCGGUAUAAGAUGGGCAUGCGUCCUAUUAGCUAGAUGGUAAGGUAAUGGCUUACCAUGGCAACGAUAGGUAGGGGGCCUGAGAGGGUGAUCCACCACACUGGUACUGAGACACGGACCAGACUCCUACGGGAGGCAGCAGUGAGGAAUAUUGGGCAAUGGAGGCAACUCUGACCCAGCCAUGCCGCGUGCAGGAAGAAUGCCCUAUGGGUUGUAAACUGCUUUUAUUUAGGAAUAAACCCCUCUACGUGUAGAGGGCUGAAUGUACUAAACGAAUAAGCACCGGCUAACUCCGUGCCAGCAGCCGCGGUAAUACGGAGGGUGCAAGCGUUAUCCGGAAUCAUUGGGUUUAAAGGGUCCGCAGGCGGAUGUAUAAGUCAGUGGUGAAAUCCUGCAGCUUAACUGCAGAACUGCCAUUGAUACUGUACAUCUUGAAUUCGGUCGAAGUGGGCGGAAUGUGUAGUGUAGCGGUGAAAUGCAUAGAUAUUACACAGAACACCGAUAGCGAAGGCAGCUCACUAGGCCUGGAUUGACGCUCAGGGACGAAAGCGUGGGGAUCAAACAGGAUUAGAUACCCUGGUAGUCCACGCUGUAAACGAUGAUUACUCGUUUUCGGCGAUAUACAGUC